rnacentral:rRNA from 1 species
AUUGAACGCUGGCGGCAGGCCUAACACAUGCAAGUCGAGCGGAUGAAGGGAGCUUGCUCCUGGAUUCAGCGGCGGACGGGUGAGUAAUGCCUAGGAAUCUGCCUGGUAGUGGGGGAUAACGUCCGGAAACGGGCGCUAAUACCGCAUACGUCCUGAGGGAGAAAGUGGGGGAUCUUCGGACCUCACGCUAUCAGAUGAGCCUAGGUCGGAUUAGCUAGUUGGUGGGGUAAAGGCCUACCAAGGCGACGAUCCGUAACUGGUCUGAGAGGAUGAUCAGUCACACUGGAACUGAGACACGGUCCAGGCUCCUGCGGGAGGCAGCAGUGGGGAAUAUUGGACAAUGGGCGGAAGCCUGAUCCAGCCAUGCCGCGUGUGUGAAGAAGGUCUUCGGAUUGUAAAGCACUUUAAGUUGGGAGGAAGCGCAGUAAGUUAAUACCUUGCUGUUUUGACGUUACCAACAGAAUAAGCACCGGCUAACUUCGUG